UCUUUUUCGAAAUUUUAGGCUUUUUUUUUUUCGAAAGUAUUGGGAUUUUAUUUAUUUAUUUAUUUUAUAUUGACUGUAUAUAGUCCAUGCAUUUUGCACAACCAACGUUCAAUCCAUAUUCAAUGUAGACAUACAACAUUACAAUCCGUAUUUUCACUCUAUAAUUUAACGACUUAAGCAACUCUUUUUCUUACCCAACUCAUCAGCAACUAACAUGGGCGUGAGGAGCUCAUAUCGGCUGCAAAAUCUGCAUAUAAUGACUCUCCCUCCCGUCCAACACUACCGCCAAAUGGCUCCUCAGAUCUGCGGGCUCUGCUCAAUAUCGCCGAGGAUUACGGCCUGCUCUUCCUCUUCUCUUCUCUAGAAGCCGCAGCUGAGAGCUACAAAUUAUGCGGAACUACAACGAGCUUCAGUUAAGUAAAAAUUCGCGAUUAAGGUAUUCUCCUGAGACAGUAAAAAGACUUAAUGGUGAGCAAAUGAUGAGAGGUUUGUUGAAUAACAUAAUUGAAACAUGCAAGAGGUGGAUGGCUAAAGAUUGGGAGGUAACCAUUAAACAUGUAUAUCGAGAACAAAAUCACAUAGCGGAUAAUCUGGCCAAGCUUGCGUGCCAAAGGGAAGAUAGAUGGAGCUGCUUAAGAGAACCUCCUGCUGUUAUUUUGAGAAAUAUAGAGGAAGACACCCUGGGCAUCCCUAGUGUGCGUUGUGGUGUUAGAGUAUACUAAGUUCUCUUGUUUUGGGGUUAUCCCUCCGUAUAAUCCAAAAAAAAUUCGCGAUUAAGGUCCUUAUUGGACCUCUCCGCAAAUUAUGCCCUGGACCCAGGUCCACCUUGCAAGGUGGACCUGGGUCCAAAACGACAUCGUUUUAUGCGUUUUAAAAUUUUUUUUUGAUAAUUAACGCCGUUAACGGAGCUUGGGAGCAGCAGGCAGUUGCCCGAUUCUCACAAAACAAUUAGCGCUUUUCAUUCGAUUCACCAUCAUCUUGCAAUUCUUCACUCAUUGCAAUUCUUCACUCAUUCAUCAUCGCAAUUCUCGUUCGAUUCAUCAUCGCAAUUCUCCUCUGAUUCAUCAUCGCGAUUUUAAUUCGAUUCACCAUCGUAAUUCUUUGCAAUUCUUCUUCAAUGAUGGCAGAGGCAGAUGAACUAAGUUUGCACGUUGAUUCU